rnacentral:lncRNA from 1 species
UCGAAUUGCUCAAAUAGCGCAUACAAAAUCAAACAACCAGCCAAAUUCAAACAAUUAACCACAGUGCCCAUCUCAUAGAUCGAUAGAUCUCACGAAUUACAGGAGGGAUUUGGGGGUGUGAGAGAUAGAGUACAUGAGAGGAUGCAGAGGAAAGUUGGGGUAGGUACAGAGAACAGGAGGAAAAGUUCAGACUAGACUCACACAUACCUCUCACACACGGCAUGACAUGCUAACAAAUACAGAGCACACACACCCUGUCGCGUGGGUACACCAGUCAGCCUACCACACCACACUCAAGGCUACACCUCUCUGUAAACCAUCAAAUUGACUGUUGUGUGCUGCACCAUCUCCUCGGUCAUCAGCUUCAGGCGACUCUAUUUUCACACUUGGCAAAUCAAUCCCAGAAACCAUACAUCGAUUGAAGGUGUGACACACAUGCAGAUCAAUGAAACUAACAACCAACCAGAAACCCUAAUCAAAAUUUGCAUGACAGACGAGAUUCAAACACAGGAAGGGCGGAACCGCACACAUCUACACAAGAAGCUGCCGGAAAUUAACACAAGCAAACAGAUCUGACCGAGAAAACACUACGCACUAACAUACAGAGCUGAGAAUCAAAGCAACAGGGGGGAACAUACCGAAUCGAACAAAACCGACGAGCGGCGAGGGGGGGCUCCAAAUCGCCAUGGAUAUCUCUCUCAGUUGCCUUCUGGGUUACGUGUUCGAAAUGAAAAGGGGAUCGAGCGGCGCGGGGAAGAGACAGAGGAAGGAAAGAAAAAGAAAAACACCGACGCGCGGCAGCGAGCGGUACUAACGGGUUUGGAAAAUACAAGCGGGCCCGAUAAGAAACUCAGCGCCAGCAAACGACGAAAAAAAA